GAUGAACGCUGGCGGCGUGCCUAAUACAUGCGAGUAGAACGCUGAAGCUUGGUGCUUGCACCGAGCGGAUGAGCUGCGAACGGGUGAGUAGCGCGUAGGUAACCUGCCUCUUAGCGGGGGAUAACUAUUGGAAACGAUAGCUAAUACCGCAUAAAAGUCGACAUCGCAUGAUGUUGACUUGAAAGGUGCAAUUGCAUCACUAAGAGACGGACCUGCGUUGUAUUAGCUAGUUGGUGAGGUAACGGCUCACCAAGGCGACGAUACAUAGCCGACCUGAGAGGGUGAUCGGCCACACUGGGACUGAGACACGGCCCAGACUCCUACGGGAGGCAGCAGUAGGGAAUCUUCGGCAAUGGGGGCAACCCUGACCGAGCAACGCCGCGUGAGUGAAGAAGGUUUUCGGAUCGUAAAGCUCUGUUGUAAGAGAAGAACGAGUGUGAGAGUGGAAAGUUCACACUGUGACGGUAACUUACCAGAAAGGGACGGCUAACUACGUGCCAGCAGCCGCGGUAAUACGUAGGUCCCGAGCGUUAUCCGGAUUUAUUGGGCGUAAAGCGAGCGCAGGCGGUUAGAUAAGUCUGAAGUUAAAGGCUGUGGCUUAACCAUAGUACGCUUUGGAAACUGUUUAACUUGAGUGCAGAAGGGGAGAGUGGAAUUCCAUGUGUAGCGGUGAAAUGCGUAGAUAUAUGGAGGAACACCGGUGGCGAAAGCGGCUCUCUGGUCUGUAACUGACGCUGAGGCUCGAAAGCGUGGGGAGCAAACAGG
rnacentral:rRNA from 1 species